rnacentral:rRNA from 1 species
AUACGGAGGAUGCGAGCGUUAUCCGGAUUUAUUGGGUUUAAAGGGUGCGUAGGCUGUGCGUUAAGUCAGGGGUGAAAUGCCGUCGCUCAACGACGGAGCUGCCCUUGAUACUGGCGUGCUGGAGUACGGAUGCCGUUGGAGGAAUGAGUGGUGUAGCGGUGAAAUGCUUAGAUAUCACUCAGAACACCGAUUGCGAAGGCAUCUGACGAAUCCGUCACUGACGCUGAGGCACGAAAGCGUGGGGAUAGAACAGGAUUAGAUACCCUGGUAUUCCACGCCGUAAAUGAUGAUGACUAACCGUCGGCGAUAGACAGCCGGUGGCCAAGCGAAAGCGAUAAGUCAUCCACCUGGGGAGUACGUCGGCAACGAUGAAACUCAAAUGAAUUGGCGGGG